GACGAACGCUGGCGGCGUGCCUAACACAUGCAAGUCGAACGGGGUAAUUGCUUCGGUGAUUACUUAGUGGCGAACGGGUGAGUAACGCGUGAGAAACCUGCCUUUCAGUGGGGGACAACAGUUGGAAACGACUGCUAAUACCGCAUAAUGUUAUUUGGGGGCAUCCCUGAAUAACCAAAGCUUUAUGUGCUGAAAGAUGGUCUCGCGUCUGAUUAGCUAGAUGGCGGGGUAACGGCCCACCAUGGCGACGAUCAGUAGCCGGUCUGAGAGGAUGAACGGCCACAUUGGGACUGAGAUACGGCCCAGACUCCUACGGGAGGCAGCAGUGGGGAAUAUUGGGCAAUGGGGGGAAACCCUGACCCAGCAACGCCGCGUGAAGGAAGAAGGGCCCUUCGGGUUGGUAAACUUCUUUUACCUAGGGACGAAGAACGUGACGGUACCUGGAGAAAAAGCAACGGCUAACUAACGUG
rnacentral:rRNA from 1 species